rnacentral:rRNA from 1 species
GACGAACGCUGGCGGCGUGCCUAAUACAUGCAAGUAGAACGCACAGUUUAUACCGUAGCUUGCUACACCAUAGACUGUGAGUUGCGAACGGGUGAGUAACGCGUAGGUAACCUGCCUGGUAGCGGGGGAUAACUAUUGGAAACGAUAGCUAAUACCGCAUAAUAUUAAUUAUUGCAUGAUAAUUAAUUGAAAGGUGCAAUUGCACCACUACCAGAUGGACCUGCGUUGUAUUAGCUAGUAGGUGAGGUAACGGCUCACCUAGGCGACGAUACAUAGCCGACCUGAGAGGGUGAUCGGCCACACUGGGACUGGGACACGGCCCAGACUCCUUCGGGAGGCAGCAGUAGGGAAUCUUCGGCAAUGGGCGGAAGUCUGACCGAGCAACGCCGCGGGAGUGAAGAAGGUUUUCGGGUCGUAAAGCUCUGUUGUAAGAGAAGAACGGGUGUGAGAGUGGAAAGUUCACACUGUGACGGUAUCUUACCAGAAAGGGACGGCUAACUACGUG